CUUCAGCGGUGUUACUUUUAGGCAGCCUCCAUGUUCAUCCAUCACUGGGCCGCAACAUGCGGCCACGCCGAUCCCGCACUUGAGGCACUUGUGUCCCUCGGAGGCGCGCGAGCUUCGAGAAACUGAAGACAGAGCAUGUACAGAAUUUUAAGCACCAUCUCUUCAAAUACCAGAGACUUCCAGUGAGGAGGAAAACCCAAACUUUUUCAAGUUCAUGGACAAAUAAUAAGAAAGGCCUUGGAAAUGUGAUGUUUCCUGAAAGCAGAAGGUUCUGGCAUCACCUUAUCCAUCUGCUCCUCCACAGCCAACACAGGAUAUUUCAGAGUACACCCGCUUCUGCCUGACAUAGACAAGUCUCUUAAGAAAUACAGCAAUGACUUUAGAACUCAGCUGCAAUUGAACCUCCUAACAUCUCUUAUACUGAGACCAUAAGAUAUCAAGACUGGGAGUUUACAAGCAUCUCACAUUGUGACCCCAUGGAAGAAAACCUGCAAGUAAUAAAAACCAUGAGAUCCAGUCUGAAAAUGAGAUGUUAAAGAUAGGUUUCAAUUUGAGCUGUUUGCGCUGGCUGUGCUUCUUCUGUGACCAGAUCAUCCCCUGUGCCCUUCUGACUCAAAAGUUCCCUUGGCAGAGCUGUGAGAGCAGCUGCUUUGAAGCUUAUGCCACCUGUAACCACUGAUGAGCUAAUCACCACUGACUAUCCAGCAAGAGUUGUUGUAAAGUGGUUUCAGUUUGGCAUUACUCUUUGGCUGAGUAAUCUGAUUACUUGUCUAAUGCAUUUGUCUGUCUUUGAUGUGUUCUGUCACUGUUUGACUCCAGAACCCACCUAGUGACAAUUGCUCUGACACUUCAGAAGAGGUAUUCAUAUAUUUGGCACCUCCUUUGACAUGUUAUGGCAACUGGAAAAAAGGAUGCACCACGGGGGCUCGGCAGUAAGUGCCUCUGAAGUAGGAACAGGCUCUUGUUAUCACUGUGGUAGCAUAGAUGUACUUGAGAAUAUUCCUGUUUGGAAAGUAUGCAGUAGCAUCCCUGACAGAAGUAAUUUUUGGCUAAAAUAUAUGCUUCAGUUUAGAAAGCACUGAUAUGAGUUUUUAUCUGCAUUUGGGCAUGUGGCCUUAAUUAAAUAGUUCAAGGUGAUAUAGGGAGGCAAAGACAUAACUUAAACAUACGGACCCUAUGUUCCCUGAUUCCUAGUGCAGUGAUUCAUCCAGGGAGAGUUUUGCCAAAGUAGAUAAGUAUUUUAAGAUGGAAUAAGUCUGUCCGGGCAAUAAAGGUAGAUCAAGAUGAUGGCUCCACAGUUCCGCUUCUAUACCUUUCCCAGAUCAGCUAUGUAUGUAAACAUACCCUUUUUGAUAGAUGAGACAAUACAUCUUUUCUUAGGGGUAUUUUAUUUACAUUGAAAAAAUUGCCCUUUACAUUGAGAAGUGAUUUCUAAUAGAUGACAUUGCCCUUUUAUGUGCUUCUAUUUUCUGUUUUCUUUUCUUUCCACUGGUUUUCCACUGCAAAUUUCAAGUAUGCUAACUGUAGUUCCAUUUCAUGCUUCUUCCUCAAGGUGGAUUAUAGACAUAAAAUGACACAGUGAUGGGUUAAUAAGCUUUUCAUUAGUCUGUAAAGAUCUAACUGAUGUGUCUGAAGCACAGUUUCAAAACAUGAAAAGAAUUUAUCUGAUGCAAAAGGUCUUCCUGAAUUUGUAGCCAGUCUGAAGUAACAGUUCCCUCUUCUGUUCCUCUCAAGAGGUGUUAAUUUAAGGAUCAAUGAUGAUGCCUAGAGGCAACAGUUAAAGAACUGGUCCUUUAAUAAAAAGAAAAGGAAAUCAUACUUCUGCUCUUGUUUCUUAGAGUGUGGGGUAUUGUUCUAUAAUGAGGAAUAAUGACAGCUUACUGAGGAUGCAUAGAGUAUGUUAGUGAGAUGGUGUCCUUCUAGAAUGAGAGAUGCUGUGGAAGAAAACAGCAUCUCUUACAUAUAAGCUGGUAGUUGAACCUCCUUUUAUAGUUAGUGGAGAGAAGUGGGAGCUUCUUAGAUUUGAUUUGUUUCAUCCUGAAGUAGAGAGCUACAAUGGGUCAGAUGAACUGUACCCUAAAAUAUGCCCUUUUCCCUGUGUUGCUUACGUAAAGAAGGUCUUGAGUGACUAGCCUUACGGCAGACAUCUGCUGAGGUGUCCCACCCCAUGAGCCAAUGAUGCCAAUUGCUUUAGGUUUAGAAUAGUGACUGUGAUGCAGUGAAAGUGUUUUAUCCCAAAUUUGAUGAACUGAUGCCAUGAAUAUUUAGGCCUUAUUUAUUUUGUCUAAAUGUAGAUGUCUCAUAGGGUGUCUGAAUUAAGCUUGCUGUAGAUUACUUCAGUAUCCAGUGCCAUAGACAUCUCUACAGGAAGAUUCAGCACAACCAAGGCCUGAUGUAUGUCUCUUUGGGGACUCUGUCUCACAGAAUCACAGAAUGGUUGAGAUUGGAAGGGACCUCUGGAGAUCAUCCAGUCCAACUCCCCCUGCUCAACAGGGUCAUCUAGAGCACGUUACCUAGCACCCUGUCCAGACGGCUUUCGAAUAUCUCCAAGGAAGGAGACUCCACAACCUCUCUGGGCAACCUGUUCCAGUGCUCAGUCACCCUCACAGUAAAGAUUUCCUCAUGUUCAGAUGGACCUUCCUGUGUCUGUUUGCAUCUGUUGCCUCUCGUCCUGUCACUGGGCACCACUAAGAAGAGUCUGGCCCCAUCUUCUUUACAUCUUCCCUUAAAAUACUUAUACAUAUUGAUAAGAUCCCCCCUGAGUCUUCUCUUCUCCAGGGUGAACAGGCCCAGCUCUCUCAGCCUCUCCUCAUACAAGAGAUGUUCCAGUCCCUUCAUUACCUUUAUGGCCCUUUGCUGGACUUGAUCCAGUAACUCCAUGUCUCUUUUGUAUUGGGGAGCCCAGAACUGGACACAGCACUCCAGAUGUGGCCUCACCAGGGCUGAGUAGAGGGGGAUGACCACCUCCCUUGAUCUGCUGGAAACACUCUUCCUAAUGCAGCCCAGGAUACCAUUGGCCUUCUUGGCCACGAGGGCACAUUGCCGGCUCAUGCUCCACCGGGAUUGUCCACCAGGACCCCCAGAGAUUUCUCUGCAGAGCUGCUUUCCAGCAGGUCAACCCCCAGCCUGUACUGGUGCAUGGCGUUAUUACUCCCUAGGUGAAGGACUCUGCACUUCCCCUUGUUGAACUUCAGAAGGUUCCUCUCCACCCAUCUCUCCAGCCUGUCGAGGUCCCUCUGAAUGGCAGCACAGCCCUCUGGUGUAUCAGCCACUCCUCAGAGUUUUGUAUCAUCAGCAAACUUGCUGAGGGUGCACUCUGUCUCACCACUCAGGUCAUUACUGAAGAUGUUAAACAGUAAUAGCCCCAGUAUUGACCCCGGGAUACACCACUAGCUACAGGCCUCCAACUAGACUUUGAAACACUGGUCACUAUCACUGAUCUCUCUCUUGGCAGUGUUGGAACCUCAGUGAUGCUUCUCACCUGGGUAUCAUAGGUAGCAGCUUAAAGUUGGGGUGGGGGGUGAAUCUCAGUCCAGGAUGGUCAGUGUGUCUGCUCAUCUCCCACAGUUUCAUGAGGAAUGCUGAAAAGUCCUGUUUUUGUAUUCUGAUAUGGAACAAAAAAAUGUUUGAUCUAGUCUUGUAAGCAAUACAUGGUAAAACUUCAAAGGAUCAGAAGAAGCUUGCUAGGUUUUACUUUCUUUAAACUUUUAACUACUUGAGGAGAUGCUUGGAAGGCAGAAAAAUGUCAGUCUAUUGGAAUAUUCCCGUCACUUCAUACAGUUCUUCUUUUAGAAUCAAGCAGCAUUUUUUAAUAAAAGCCAUUAUCAAUUUAA